rnacentral:lncRNA from 1 species
AGAGAUCGCCAUGAUGGGGAAGAAGGAAGAGGAGACCUAAAGGCCAGCUGACAUGUGAGAAUCAGGGAAAGUGGCCACACGGGCCACUUCCACAGCUGUGUUUGAGCAGGACUUUGGGUCCCUAACCUGCAACUCAGCACUCAGUCCAUCAUGGGCUUUGCUAGUCUCUGUGACUUCUCCAGGGCAGGAAAGUGACAGGUUUCUGCGCAAGGGAGCCCGAGGUACCUGGUUCAGGAUGGAGAGGGCACUUGAGAGGCGUCAAAAGCAAGCACAGUUAGAGGACAUCAGCGAUGUUAAAACCCCACGAGGGUCAACAGUAGCCCAGGCAAAAUAAAGGAGCCUGAAGUGGAAAAACAGAAAUGGAACAAGACGUUUGUUCUGGAGCACGUGAGAUUGUCCUUCUAAGACAUUUCCAGAAGUAUUCAAAGGAAGAUUUAAUGGGAAAUCAUUAUGCAAAAGAGUCAGUAAUAUAUUUUAGUUUCAAAAAGUACGGAGCGUGACGCCUGUCAAUUAUACCUUCUGCAAAGGUGAGUGGCGGUUGUCCUUGCUGUUCCAAAAUGCAAAGAGAAACAAACAAACAAACAAACAAGCAAACCAGCUACUCCUAUUCCGCACUCCAAACACCAAGCAGAAAUGCUUCUGGGACAAACUGAGCUUCAUUCUUUAUGAAAAUGAAAACACUUCUUUCUGUGCACUAGGAAAAUGUUCUGCCUCUGAGCUGCAAAACCAGCACCAAACUUGAAAAGUUUGUGCAUCAAAGGAAAAAGGCAACCUACAGGAUGGGGGAGAAUAUUUGCAGGACACAUGUCCUGGAAGGAAUACAUAUUUAGACUGAAUAAAAUGAGUAAGAGGAGGGAUAGGGAGUUCGUGUUCAAUGUUGAGAGCUUGGGACAGUUGAGAAAACGCUCCGGAGUGUUCUGCAGAUGAAUGAUGGUGACGACUGCAUCAGUGUGAAUGUCCUUAACGCCGUCAAAAAUUGGUUAUAAUGGCAAAUUUUAUGCUACAUAUGUUUUACUACAAUAAAAAUGCCAGGAAAAUCUAACUGCUCCAAAUCCUGAAUUUAUUAACCCAAUAAAUUAGGAGAUGGUUAUUGACCUAUAAAUGGAUUUGUCAAUUUUUAAAAUGAUUUCCUUUAAAUUGAAUUCUUUCCUAGAGCUUUAUUGUCUCUUCACAAACCAUUAAACACUUGUUAAAGUGUUCAGAGAGGGCUGAGAUGGAGGAGGAAGUGAAAACCAAACAAACAGAUGAGGGACCUUCCCCAAAUGAUGUCUGCUAACAGGCUUCUUGGGUAUUCUAUUUAUAUAGAUUUUACAAGUGUUUUAUUUGAGAGGAAAAAUCCCUAGACCUUACAUAGUACAAUGAACUUCUUAUGCCUGUCAGCUAGAUUUAUUAAUUUUUAACGAGGUGUAUUACUUUUAAAAGCUAUCUAUUUACUAUUGGGGGAGGGAGAAGGACAAAGGACAUCUUGCAGAAGUCUGGUCUCUCCUGCUAUGUGGGUUCUGGAGAUAGGAAAUCAGGCAGGUUGUCAGGCCUAGAAGCAAAGGCCUGUCUGCACUGAGCCAUCUUACUUGUCUUAUUUUGUUACUUUUGAUGACCUAUUUUAGACAUCACUAUUCUAUAGCCCUAAGUAUAACUUCAAGUAUGUAUCUUCCACAAUGACUUUAUGACCAUGAAAUCAAUUCAAGAAAUUUAACAUGUAUGCAGUUCUAUCCAGCGUACAUACAGAUUUCUCAUCCCCCCUUUUACUGUAGUUUAUAGAAAAAGCAAUUCUCUUCCAUAUCUAGAGUUUGACAAGGAAUAUGCAUUGCAUUUGGUUUCUGUGUUCUUUAAUCUCUUGUUGUACAGAACUUCAACCUUUCAUGACAGGUUGAACAAUUUUGGAUCAUACAGGCUGUCAUGGUUUGAAUAUGUUUGGCCCAGGGAGUGGUACUGUUAGGGGUGUGGUCUUCUUGGAAUAGGUGUGUCACCGUGGGCGUGGGCUUUAAGACCCUCAUCCUUAGCUUCUGGAAGUCAGUCUUCCACUAGCAACCUUCAGAUGAAGAUGUAGAACUCUCACCAUCUCCUGCACUAUACCUGCCUGGAUAUCGCCAUGUUCCUGCCUUGAUGAUUAUGGACUGAACCUCUGAACCUGUAAGCCAGCCCCAAUUAAAUUUGUCCUUAUAAG